rnacentral:lncRNA from 1 species
AACUCUGCUUUGGGAACCCUCACAGAUACUCCCGCUGGGGAAAUGAGCAAUCUUCAACCUGCUGGGGGAAUACCAUCCAGACCCUGCUAGGGGAACGACAACUACUCCGCUGGGGAGGACCCAAUCAAUCCACAUGUAGGAUACCCUCGGCUGGGGAUGCAGAUAUUCGUCUGCUACGGAAACUCGUUCAAUCCACUGGUAGGAUGAACACUGUUGGAG